AAGAGCCAUCGAUUUCGAGCGGACUCCUAGUCCCAUCUUCUCUCGCAGCUGAUCCAUCCGUCUUCUUCUCCUUUGCACCUUCGCCAUCUCCCUUCUCCUUCACGACUUUACGCCGUCUCCCUUGGGCUCUCACCUUCACCAUCCUACCCAAAAGCUAAACCCAGAGCCCGAACAAAAACUGAUAAAGAGUCCACCGACUCCCUCCGGUGGACACGGCCAUGGUUAUUGCUUCAACCGCAGCUCUCGCUCCUUCCUGGUUCACGCCCAAGAGGUGAUUCGUUUUCUUACACUUUUGUGUUAAUUUUUUUUUUUGUUCUGUUCUGGGGUCUGUUUGGUUGGUGAGAAAAUAUGGAAUUCAAGAGAGUUUUGGCCUUUUUGUAUUUUUUAGGGUUUUUGAUUGUUUUUGUUACUUGGGUCUGGGAAAUACACGGUAUUUCCAUGUGGGCUUCAGAGAUUUUGGUGAUUUCUUAGUUUUUCUCUAUUUUUCCGGCAACCAACCCGGAAAUUCGGUUUUUCUCCAUUGUGGGCACUAAUCUUCUUUAUGUGAAAGUUUAUGGAUGGAAAGGGAAAAUAGUGAGAAUUGUUGGAUGAUUAAUUAGUUAAACUAUUUUGAAAUUGAAAGGAGGAGAUGAUGUAUCAUGUAAAUGAAUGCUCUAGAGUUAAGAAUAUAUUUAUAAGUUUGAGCUUUCAACUGGGUUGAGUCAAGUAUCAUUUGAAGGUUUUGCAAGACAUUUGAGUCACUUUUAGUAUCUCAUUGUGCAAUAUAAACAUCUUUACGCUGCGAUUGCAGGUUACUUGUUAUCUUUUGCUUGAUUAACUUGAUACAUUAUGUGGACCGAGGAACAAUAGCAAGUAAUGGUGUCAAUGGGAGCCUCGAAACUUGUACAGACAGUGAUAUAUGCACGGCUGGUACUGGGAUUCAUCUGAGCUUCCACCUGGGGUGGAGUCUGCUCUACUGCAACAAGUUUUGAGCCUAACACAGGAAAAAUUGAGUUCAUUGUCUCCGGAAUGUCAACAACAAGUAAUAAAGCUCCAAUAGAUGCUUCGGUGAGAUCAGAUUCAGCCAUCGUAGCAGAGUCAUAAAUGGCAGUUUUGAUGCAGUAAGUUGUUACAUGUGCAGGCACCAACUUGCUUGCUAGAGCAACAAAAGGCGUGAUAUUGAUUCAAUCGAUUUUGAUUGUUUGUAACAGUAUGUUCAUGUGAGGAGUUGAUUUAGAGGAUCUGUAGUGCAAGAGUACUAUCGUAUUCGUGUAGCCUACACAAGCUUGUGUUUUAGUCUAGUCAAUAAAUUAGUUAGAAUAACAAAAUUUUGUCUGUAUCACAACAUUUAAAUUUACAUUCCCUCAGCUAAAAUUUGUUGCUUCACUUUUGA